CUUAUAUUCCAGUGAUCCUCAAAAGCUGAAAGAAAGACUUUUCAUAGUUUUCUGCAGUCAUGUUCUUUCUUCCUUUUGGCUUUUAUUUCCAAAGAUGAAAUGAAACCAUCUCUUUUCCUCCUGAUACUGAGGACAAAGGCUCUCUCUAAACACGACACAAUGCAAUUUUGAUAGGAGAAAAAAAAGAGUGCUGUGCUCUACAGAGGAAAGUACCCAUAGGGGACUACAAUAAAUGACAGUAUGAACUUGAUCAGAAACAAAGGAAAAAAGGGACUGUGAUUCAGUGUGCUGGUGACUGAGACACUUCCCUGGCCAUCCUGUCCCAGUGUUUGACAACCCCGUCUGUGAAAGAAUUUUUCCUGAUAUCCAAUCCAGAUUUUCCCUGGCUCAAUCGGAAUCCACGUCCUCUUGCUUAUUACUUGUGAAAAGAGAAUUUAACCCACCUGGCUACAACCUCAGCUUCCAGGCAGGUGUGGAGAGUGAUCAUCUUUUGCUCCAGGAUAAACUCCCCCAGCUCCCUCAGGAAAAUGCAAGACUGCAAUCUUAAUAAGAAGAGUUAAAUGGAAAAGGCUUCCUUUAACACCAUGCAAAAAUGACUACACAGAAACAAAAUAGGCCUCUGUAAGGUGUUUAAUGUGAGCAAGUCUUUAGGAUGAAAAGGAAGAGGACAAGAAACACUUCUUCUUUGUUAAAAUAUUUAUAGAAAUCUACAGCAAACUUCCAGGGGUUUUUGAAGUUCAAGAAUAUGUCUUAUCUGCCUCUUUAGACCAAGGGAUCAAAACUUAACUUUUAUAUUAGUCCCUAAGAAAAGAAAUCUUUUCAGUGUGGGCCUGAAGAAAAAUCAUUUCAUGUCAUCUCCCUGACACACAACCACAUCUGAAGAUCACCUGCCUAAAGCCCACGGAACUGAAUCUCCUGAGGCUCAGGGGAGGGGAGAUGCUGCUUCAGCAGAGGGCCAGCUCUGGUGCCACAGGUGUAGCUGCUCCAGCAGCUGAGAGGUCUCACUGUCACUAAAGUGCUGUAAAACAGCCUCUGGAGUGCUGAAGUGAUGGAUGCACUGCUGUAAGGAUUGGCUGUUCCACGUGUCUGCUGUCCCUACACAGACCUCUGAAGUGCUGGUGGGCUGGGAUCCAGGGAUCUAAAUUGUCCCUGGACAGCUGUGUUCCUUGGAGAAGCUGGGCUCAAAUGUCUGAGUUGACACAACCUCCAUCGGGAAGCAGAAAGUCCUGUUGGUGGUUUUCCACUGCCACCUCAACUUUAUCAUUUUUUCCAUCUCAAAGAAUUUUCAGCCAAACUUGGCGAGAGUUUCAAAUCCAUCCUACAAAUUACGUGGGUCUAGGUGGUCUGGGAGAGUAGGAGAGUUUGUGACUCCUGGGUUCACGCUAAAUUCAAGAACGCCAAGAGAAAGAUCAACCAGUUCAAGAAAGCCUCAGUUCAGUCUUGGCUUGUGUAAAACCCAGCAGAAUCUGUGAAACAGGAGCCUGUGAGAAACCAGCUUCCCCUAAUUCUACAGCUUGUGCAACUGUUUGCUUUAAUUAUGCCACUAACCUGCAGCUUCACUGAGGAUUUGGGAUAAUCUGUCUCAUUUGGCAUAGUCCUUCCUGAUCCUGUGAAGCCGUGGAAAAGCAGCUGUUCGUGUAUUACCCAGCCCCUGUGAGU